rnacentral:lncRNA from 1 species
GAUCUGGUACCUCAAGGAGUCGACAUAUCAAAAUUUUCCGUAGACUGGCGACCUGAACAUCCGCCACACUUCAUGAAGAGGAUGCGAGAGCCUUCUGAAAGAAAGUCGAAGAAGAAGACUCUUAAGCUGGGAGAACCAUCUGAAACCAGACCGCCUGUGCCUCUGGUCUCCUCCUCUCCAAGCAAGUCUCAACCCUCUAAAACUCAUACUUUGAAAUUAAGGAAACUAUCUUCCUCCCUGCCUCUACAAACUUCCACGUAUACCUCCUU